rnacentral:lncRNA from 1 species
GAGGUCCUCACACGCAAUUACCCCUCUCCGCAGAAACGCGCGGAUCCAAGGGUUGACAAACCGGAUCGGGUCGGGGCUCUUACCAAAUGACGUCAUUUUUGAGCCACUGAAACAGGCUUCGAAACGGCGUCGUAUUUGGCCCUUUAUAAGGGCUAAAACCGAAUCACUCAGCCAAACCCUAGCCUCUGCUUUUCUCUUUCAGCCGAACCCUAAAAUCUCUCACUCAGAUGCCGAUCCAUCACCACGAAUGGCGUUCAGCGUUCUCAAGCUUAGAAGGGUGUUUUUCUUAGCCUUGAAACCCCCCAUUUAGCUUCGAUUUCGACGAAGCAAGAGAGGAUCACCAGCCAAAUCACACGGUAUAACCUCUUUUUCUUUUUUUCUUUUGUUUUUUUAAAAUAAAAAUAUUGAAACAAAAUCGACAGAAUAUAAGUAAAAAAAACUCAGGGAAUGAAAGAGAUUAAAAAAAAAUGAAAUCACCUUUUCAAGAACUGUUUUCGAAUUUUUUCUAUUCAAUAUGCGUGUAUUGUGCCAGCGUCUAUUACAUUCCCUUUCUUUGGCUUUUUGUAGCCGAAAGCAAAAAUAAAGAAAAAAGAAUACAAAAAUCUGCUCCCUUUUUUUGUCUUUGUUUUGUUGUUGUCCCUUUUGUUUUCUUGCAGGUACAAAAGGCGACGUGGAGGCGCGAGGGUGGCGUACGGAGGCGUGCAAGGGGGUCGUACGGAGGCACGCUGGAGGCUAGGGCUGCGACGCUCUUUGCUGCUAGGGUUCCUAGUUGGCUGAAGUUUGUUUAAGUUUUGGGCCAUUUGGGCCAGGGGUAUUUCGGGCUACUUGGGUUAAUGUAAAUGUUUUGGGCUGGUUUUUGAUAUUUGGAUUGAUGGACCGUUAAUAAUAUUUAGACUUUUAGUUAUUUUUUUUAUAUUUUGGGUUUAUAGGCCCGGGCUAAAUUGGGCCUCUACAGUGUAAAAUAAAUAAUAUAUAAAAAACCUAAAGUAAAUAAUAAAACCAUUUUUAAAUAAAUAAAAAGAGUUUAACAUAAGAUAUAUAAAACAAUUUUAAAAUAAAUAAUAUAUAAGUCAAUUUUAAAAAUAAUAAAUAAGAAUCUAAAGUAAAAGAGAGAUUUAAAGAAACAAUAUACAAAACAGUUUUUUUAAUAAUAUGUAUAAAAACGAUUUGAAAUGCUAUAUGGAUAAUAUAUGAAAAGAGCCAAAAUAU